rnacentral:rRNA from 1 species
GUACACAAAAAUGCACAUGCUGUGAGCUCGAUGAGUAGGGCGGGACACGUGGUAUCCUGUCUGAAUAUGGGGGGACCAUCCUCCAAGGCUAAAUACUCCUGACUGACCGAUAGUGAACCAGUACCGUGAGGGAAAGGCGAAAAGAACCCCGGCGAGGGGAGUGAAAAAGAACCUGAAACCGUGUACGUACAAGCAGUGGGAGCACGCUUAGGCGUGUGACUGCGUACCUUUUGUAUAAUGGGUCAGCGACUUAUAUUCUGUAGCAAGGUUAACCGAAUAGGGGAGCCGAAGGGAAACCGAGUCUUAACUGGGCGUUAAGUUGCAGGGUAUAGACCCGAAACCCGGUGAUCUAGCCAUGGGCAGGUUGAAGGUUGGGUAACACUAACUGGAGGACCGAACCGACUAAUGUUGAAAAAUUAGCGGAUGACUUGUGGCUGGGGGUGAAAGGCCAAUCAAACCGGGAGAUAGCUGGUUCUCCCCGAAAGCUAUUUAGGUAGCGCCUCGUGAAUUCAUCUCCGGGGGUAGAGCACUGUUUCGGCAAGGGGGUCAUCCCGACUUACCAACCCGAUGCAAACUGCGAAUACCGGAGAAUGUUAUCACGGGAGACACACGGCGGGUGCUAACGUCCGUCGUGAAGAGGGAAACAACCCAGACCGCCAGCUAAGGUCCCAAAGUCAUGGUUAAGUGGGAAACGAUGUGGGAAGGCCCAGACAGCCAGGAUGUUGGCUUAGAAGCAGCCAUCAUUUAAAGAAAGCGUAAUAGCUCACUGGUCGAGUCGGCCUGCGCGGAAGAUGUAACGGGGCUAAACCAUGCACCGAAGCUGCGGCAGCGACACUGUGUGUUGUUGGGUAGGGGAGCGUUCUGUAAGCCUGCGAAGGUGUGCUGUGAGGCAUGCUGGAGGUAUCAGAAGUGCGAAUGCUGACAUAAGUAACGAUAAAGCGGGUGAAAAGCCCGCUCGCCGGAAGACCAAGGGUUCCUGUCCAACGUUAAUCGGGGCAGGGUGAGUCGACCCCUAAGGCGAGGCCGAAAGGCGUAGUCGAUGGGAAACAGGUUAAUAUUCCUGUACUUGGUGUUACUGCGAAGGGGGGACGGAGAAGGCUAUGUUGGCCGGGCGACGGUUGUCCCGGUUUAAGCGUGUAGGCUGGUUUUCCAGGCAAAUCCGGAAAAUCAAGGCUGAGGCGUGAUGACGAGGCACUACGGUGCUGAAGCAACAAAUGCCCUGCUUCCAGGAAAAGCCUCUAAGCAUCAGGUAACAUCAAAUCGUACCCCAAACCGACACAGGUGGUCAGGUAGAGAAUACCAAGGCGCUUGAGAGAACUCGGGUGAAGGAACUAGGCAAAAUGGUGCCGUAACUUCGGGAGAAGGCACGCUGAUAUGUAGGUGAAGUCCCUCGCGGAUGGAGCUGAAAUCAGUCGAAGAUACCAGCUGGCUGCAACUGUUUAUUAAAAACACAGCACUGUGCAAACACGAAAGUGGACGUAUACGGUGUGACGCCUGCCCGGUGCCGGAAGGUUAAUUGAUGGGGUCAGCGCAAGCGAAGCUCUUGAUCGAAGCCCCGGUAAACGGCGGCCGUAACUAUAACGGUCCUAAGGUAGCGAAAUUCCUUGUCGGGUAAGUUCCGACCUGCACGAAUGGCGUAAUGAUGGCCAGGCUGUCUCCACCCGAGACUCAGUGAAAUUGAACUCGCUGUGAAGAUGCAGUGUACCCGCGGCAAGACGGAAAGACCCCGUGAACCUUUACUAUAGCUUGACACUGAACAUUGAGCCUUGAUGUGUAGGAUAGGUGGGAGGCUUUGAAGUGUGGACGCCAGUCUGCAUGGAGCCGACCUUGAAAUACCACCCUUUAAUGUUUGAUGUUCUAACGUUGACCCGUGAUCCGGGUUGCGGACAGUGUCUGGUGGGUAGUUUGACUGGGGCGGUCUCCUCCUAAAGAGUAACGGAGGAGCACGAAGGUUGGCUAAUCCUGGUCGGACAUCAGGAGGUUAGUGCAAUGGCAUAAGCCAGCUUGACUGCGAGCGUGACGGCGCGAGCAGGUGCGAAAGCAGGUCAUAGUGAUCCGGUGGUUCUGAAUGGAAGGGCCAUCGCUCAACGGAUAAAAGGUACUCCGGGGAUAACAGGCUGAUACCGCCCAAGAGUUCAUAUCGACGGCGGUGUUUGGCACCUCGAUGUCGGCUCAUCACAUCCUGGGGCUGAAGUAGGUCCCAAGGGUAUGGCUGUUCGCCAUUUAAAGUGGUACGCGAGCUGGGUUUAGAACGUCGUGAGACAGUUCGGUCCCUAUCUGCCGUGGGCGCUGGAGAACUGAGGGGGGCUGCUCCUAGUACGAGAGGACCGGAGUGGACGCAUCACUGGUGUUCGGGUUGUCAUGCCAAUGGCACUGCCCGGUAGCUAAAUGCGGAAGAGAUAAGUGCUGAAAGCAUCUAAGCACGAAACUUGCCCCGAGAUGAGUUCUCCCUGACUCCUUGAGAGUCCUGAAGGAACGUUGAAGACGACGACGUUGAUAGGCCGGGUGUGUAAGCGCAGCGAUGCGUUGAGCUAACCGGUACUAAUGAACCGUGAGGCUUAACCUU